rnacentral:rRNA from 1 species
UACGAAGGGUCCAAGCGUUAUCCGGAUUUAUUGGGUUUAAAGGGUCCGUAGGCGGUUUAAUAAGUCAGUGGUGAAAGCCCAUCGCUCAACGAUGGAACGGCCAUUGAUACUGUUAAACUUGAAUUAUUAGGAAGUAACUAGAAUAUGUAGUGUAGCGGUGAAAUGCUUAGAGAUUACAUGGAAUACCAAUUGCGAAGGCAGGUUACUACUAAUAUAUUGACGCUGAUGGACGAAAGCGUGGGGAGCGAACAGG